rnacentral:rRNA from 1 species
UACGAAGGGGGCUAGCGUUGCUCGGAAUUACUGGGCGUAAAGCGCACGUAGGCGGCCUGAUAAGUCGGGUGUGAAAGCCCUGGGCUCAACCCAGGAAGUGCACUCGAAACUGUCAGGCUUGAAUAUGGAAGAGGGUCGCGGAAUUCCCGGUGUAGAGGUGAAAUUCGUAGAUAUCGGGAGGAACACCAGUGGCGAAGGCGGCGACCUGGGCCAAUAUUGACGCUGAGGUGCGAAAGCGUGGGGAGCAAACAGG